UUAGGGUGGACUGCAAGAGACAUUACUGUGGAAAACCUGGAAGGCAAAAGUGAAGCAGCAGCCAUUUUGUAGCUGACCCGUAUUGUCUCUGAUCUACUGACUCAUCUCAUUGGCAUGAAGCAGUGGCCACAUCUGAAACUACUCCAUCAUCCCCUGGAUCUUUCUUCAGCUUCUCUUACUCCUUGCCCAGAUGUUGUGGAAGAUGCAACCGUGACUAAGCAGUAGCUAUCCUCCAGAAGACAACAGCCUUACAGCAAAGAUAAAACAAGCCAACAAAUAUGCAAUGGGGAAGUAAAAAGAGAUAGCAAUGCCGCUGUUAGGGGAGAGGAUUUGGUGAUUUAUAGAAGAAGAGAGAAAUAAGGAAGAAGAAAAGAGGAGAGAAAAAGUGAAGAAAGACAAAUCCAGAUGAUCUUGGAAGCUCACUUCCUCCCAUGUGGGAGCUUAGCAAGAUACUAAUAACAGCUGAGGUGGGACAGGGACUCUUCUAAUAAGCUUACUUCCUAAAUCAGGAACAGUUACCUAAAACAGUUAGCACUGUUACAGAGUCAAGAGACCAGAGGUUCUCCGUCCUCCUAGGUAGAAAUAUGCAGAACUUUACAUACAGGGUCCCUCGGCUAGAGGCCUGUCCAUGGUGUCUGCAGGCUGGCUAUGCUCAGAUUAAGCAAGAUUCUUUGUGGGAUAAGAAAAGCCACUUUGUUGGUAUUCCUAUCAAAAAUUUAAAUAACCUGAAUCUAAUCAUGAGGAAACAUCAGAUAAACCCAAAUGGAGAAACAUUCUAAAAAAGAACUGACCUUACUCUUCAAGAAUAUCAAUGGCAAGAAAAACUCAGGAAGUGUUCCAGACUAAAGGAGACAAAAGUGACAGUUGAAGGCAAUGCGUGACUAGAAAUUUCCUUUUGCUAUAAAGAAUAUUAAAGAGGUAAUUGGUGGAAUCUGAAUAAAGUACAUAGAUUGUUAA